GAUGAACGCUAGCGAUAGGCCUAACACAUGCAAGUCGAGGGGCAGCAUAAGGAAGUAGCAAUACUUUCUGGUGGCGACCGGCGCACGGGUGAGUAACACGUAUGCAACCUGCCUUCAACAAGGGCAUAACCCGUUGAAAGACGGACUAAUACCCUAUAAUACAGGGGUCCCGCAUGGGAAUAUUUGUUAAAGGACAACCGGUUGAAGAUGGGCAUGCGUUCCAUUAGCUAGUUGGCGGGGUAACGGCCCACCAAGGCAACGAUGGAUAGGGGAACUGAGAGGUUUAUCCCCCACACUGGUACUGAGACACGGACCAGACUCCUACGGGAGGCAGCAGUGAGGAAUAUUGGUCAAUGGACGCAAGUCUGAACCAGCCACGUCGCGUGAAGGAAGACGGCCCUACGGGUUGUAAACUUCUUUUAUACGGGAAUAAAGUGCCCCACGCGUGGGGUUUUGCAUGUACCGUAUGAAUAAGGAUCGGCUAACUCCGUGCCAGCAGCCGCGGUAAGUACG
rnacentral:rRNA from 1 species